UGGUUUAGGGGGUGGGGUUAGGCCUAGUUAGGGGUGGGGCCGAGAAUAUUCUGUAACAUUAGGGCCUAGGCCUUGUCAUAUCACUGACCUUAAUUAGGUUUCUGACAUUGCCCAAGAUUUUAUAAUUAAGCAUCACGGCUCCCCAUUUUUGUUUACUUAAUAAAUAUAAACUAGGCCUUGGUCACAGACGUGGGCCACGACCUGGACUAAUUGAUAGUUAGCAGGCGUAGCCUAUAGGCCUAUGGCAGGACGUUAUUUGACAGGUUAUUAAUUAUUUUGCAACCAAACACAAAUGACUGCUAAUAAAUGGCCAAAAAUGUAUUUUUUAAGUGACUUCAAUAAAAAUUUAAAUUGAAGUUGAAUUUUUUUAAAUUCUCAUGAACUCUUUGUAAAAGCCAACUUGUGUUUGUGCGUAGGGGUGCUGCAUUGUAUGUGUCAGAGACUUAUUCUCUGUGUUAUUCUUUUCAGAUUACCAGUGACGAAAUCUCCGCGCUGUCAGAUGCCCAACUUGAAAAUUUGAGUGUGACAACAAUUGGUGAUAGGCACCGACUAAGAAUAAAUUGUAGACAGACAGGAUCCAUUUUGUCUAGAUUUAUGCCAGCCAGACACAGUCCCUACACCAAAAAAAAGGGAAAGCACUCGAAGACGCCAUAGAAUCGGAAGAUAGUUUGCCUGUCAGAUCCAUUGACAAUGAUAACACCAACAUGUUGGCAAAAGCAACAACCUAGCAGAAGCUGGGCUUGGUGAAAAAAACAUAACAGUACAUAACAGUAUAAAUCCGGAUGAAUUCCAGGAAGUACUAUAUGCUAACUUUCCCCAGCUGAGGGAUGCUGGGGGUUUUGAGAUAAUAAUAUGCUUUGGGAGUGGAAGAAAGCUUACCCCAAUUAGUGGGCAUAUUCACCCCUGAAUAUAAAAGAAAAAUCAGGUCAAGGUAGAGUCUAUAUACGACCAAUUCAACAUGCACUAAAUGUGGAUUCAGAAAGGGUAAAGAGGCAUAAUAUGAUCAGUUAUCAAUCAAUCAGUCAAAUUCACCUAUAUAGAGCAAGUAGCCAUUAAAUAAUAUUCAAAGGCGCUCGAGUUAUGUGUGAAUUUGAAACACAUCCUUAAGAAAGUUCUAAUAGAUAAAAUAUAAAUGACAGUUUAUAAAUGAUUAUUAAUUACAUCAUUUUUAAUUGUUUACUCUUUUAGGAAACUGACUCUGGAUUGACAGAAGUGUCCUAAAUGCCAAAAUAACAUUUCAUUCUGUGUUUUAAAGAAACAUUUGGCAAGCUGUGCAAGUACUGUAGCAGGUUGAAGAAAGUGAUACAUUGUAUGAUCUAGACCUCACUCAUAGUCAUACUCCAAUGAAGUUCAUGAAGGCGGAUCAAGAACUUCAGACGUCUACUUGACCGUUUUUUUGAGCUGAACCGCACUACACUUACCAACCAAGCAGUAUGUGACAUUUGUGUGCAGUUGAACCGCACUACACUUACCAACCAAGCAGUAUGUGACAUUUGUGUGCAGUUGACAGGGAAGAAUAUAAUGUAUUGUAAAUAAAGUAAUAUAAUGUAAAUAAUUAAAUAAAUGAAAAAUAAUUUAAUAUAUUUGUAAUUAAUGUAUAAUGCAGUAAUUGUUAUUAAACAGUUUCUAUGGUUCUAAUCAAUAAAUGCAUCACUAUUAUGUUCAGUUACAUGUUUCUCCAAGUUUAUUGAGUGUGAAUUGUACUUCAAGUUUUUGCAGCAUCAUAAUUUUCUAAUUAAAUUUUCUGUGGAAUAGCAGUCAUACAAUUGUUUUU